CGCGGCCCGGGAGCGGGAGGGCUGCAGUGGGGCUGGCGAGGAAGUGGCGGCGCUGCCCGGGGCGGAGAUGGGGACUGCGCCGUCCCUGACCCGGUCACCACCGGCCUGCACUCCGGGCCCGGGCUUGGCUCUUCCAUCGGCUUAGCCAUCACUUGGAGGUGGCAGAUGUGUGAUGGAGACACUAUGUUGGCGACGUCAGAGUUAACGAGGAGUGAAUUGGGGGCGCGAUGUUAGCUAAGUGCCCAGGCUUCAUUUGACCACGUGGACAAAGGAAAGCGCCCCCGAGAGACCAUCUCCCGAAGCAGAGGCUCUGGCUGUAAAUGGUGCUACUGGCCGGCCUGGCAGGGGCCAGCUCUCCCCAGAGGCUCAAGGGCUUCUCCAGGAGGCAUCUCGCAGUCAGUCCCCAGCCCACACCAAGGCUGUGCCCUUCCACUCCUCUUCCUUUCCUCGUCCCACCACCCACUCACUCACUAGUCUUUGCCCUCUUCCUUCCUCUCGGAAACGAAAGAGGCUCCUUUCCAUUAGUGAGAGCUGCAAUUAAUGCAGUCAUCUUCAGAAAGCAAACACAUAACCCCGUGCCCAGGAUCCGACCUGCGACCAUCACCCAGCAAUGACUGCUCCCCUUAAACACCGAGAAGGGAAUUCACUUGAUUCUAAUUAGGAAUCCCCCAGCCGUGUUUGAAGUCUGCAAGUCCAAACAGCAGACGUGGCUCAGGAUGGCAGAAUCCGACCACCCUCCACCUCCAUCUCCAGCAUUCUUCCAUUAUCGCCCGCUGGCUGCCAGAUCAAACAGAGCAAGACUGCUACAUGGAUUUCUUUCCCUUUCGUCUCUUCCUUUCACUCCAGGGCUCCCAGUUUUCUGAGUAACUUAAAUCAUCACUGAGAGAUGUGUAGGUUCACAGACCAAACCCUUUCAAAGCAAGGCGUGGGCACCCAAAAGUUGAGCUCAGAAAAGCACAGAAGAAAACUUUCCCAGUCCCAAGAUUUAGCCAAUCACACAUUCAGGGAAACAAUCAGCUACUUUGCCAGGUCUUACCUUCCUUUCCUGCCACCUCCUUGGGGCCUGGCUGGUCCCCAGGGUCCCAUUUCUGAAUUCUCUUUGGGCCUCAAGACUUCCAUAUGACCUUCACUGUGCUAUAGGCAGGUCCUGUCUCUUCAGUAAACCACCUGUUCUAUCUUACCCAUCAGCCAGUCACAGUGGCUCACACCUAUAAUCCCAGCACUUUGGGAGGCCAAGGCAGGAGGAUCACUUGAGUUCAGGAGUUCAAAACCAGCCUGGGCAACAUAGCAAGACCCUGCCUCUACAAAAAAAUUUAAAACCGGCCGGGUGUGGUGGCUCAUGCCUGUAAUCCCAGCACUUUGGGAGGCCAACGCGGGCAGAUCACGAGGUCAGGAGAUCGAGACCAUCCUGGCUAACACGGUGAAACCCUGUCUCUAUUAAAAAUAUGAAACAUUUGCUGGGCGAGGUGGGGGGCACUUGUAGUCCUAGCUACUCGGGAGGCUGAGGCGAGAGAAUGGCGUGAACCAGGGGGGCAGAGCCUGCAGUGAGCUGAGAUCACGGCACUGCACUCCAGCCUGGGCGACAGAGCGAGACUCCGUCUCAAAAAAAAAAAAAAAAAAAAAAUUAAAACCUAGCUAGGUGUGGUGGCAUGGGACCUGUAGUCCUAGCUACUUGGGAGGCUGAGGUGGGAGGAUCCCUUAAAAUAAAGAAGAAAAUCUUGCCCAUCUCUCUGAUGAAUGCUCUCUCCUCCACGAAGCCUUUCCUUAACUCUCCAACCCAAACGAACCACUCCUUCCUCUGAAUCCCUUUUUCCUUUUGACUUUGAAUUGUAUCUUCUAAGUUUUAUCUUCCUGAUACUAGAACGUACAUUCCUUGAAGGGAAGGAUUAUGGCUUAUUCAAUUCUGCAUCCUUCGCAAUGCACAACAUUGCACACUGUAGAAACUGAACAAAUGUCUGUUUAAUGAAAAACAGAGGAUGCCUCUCUUGAUAUGACACAAAGUCUAAUUACAUAGUUAUUACUCUCAG